rnacentral:rRNA from 1 species
GACGAACGCUGGCGGCGUGCUUAACACAUGCAAGUCGAACGAAGAGCGAUGGAAGCUUGCUUCUAUCAAUCUUAGUGGCGAACGUGUGAGUAACGCGUAUUCAACCUGUCCUUCAGUGGGGGACAACAGUUGGAAACGACCGCUAAUACCGCAUACGAUCUAAUCUCGGCAUUGAGGAUAGAUGAAAGGUGGUCUCUACACGUAUGCUAGCACUGAAGGAGGGGAUUGCGGCUGAUUAGGUAGCUGGGGGGGUAACGGCCCACCAAGGCGAUGACGAGUAGCCGGUCUGAGAGGAUGAACGGCCACAUUGGGACUGGGACACGGGCCAGACUCCUACGGGAGGCAGCAGUGGGGAAUCUUCCGCAAUGGACGAAAGUCUGGCGGGGCAACGCCGCGUGAGGGGUGAAAGCCUUCGGGUUGGUAAGCUCCGUUAAUCGGGGCGAAAGGACUUCUUGCGAACAGUUAGAAGGAUUGACGGUACCGGAAUAGAAAGCCACGGCUAACUACGUG